CAGCUCCUCUCUGUAUAUUGUUUGAUUUUUUCAUGUUCAAUUCAACUUUCGCUAAAAGAACUUCAAAAUCGAGCAGGGAUUGCUUGAUUUGUAGCCAAUGAUUUAAUUGUUCAUACUAUUUUGGUGUCUAGAAAUAGUAGUAAAACUACUAAUAUCGUAUUAGGGGCUACAACGCAGCAUGUAUUGUUUGUUUGAAUUAAUUUAUUUUCAUUGUAAUAGAGAGGAAGCAGUGAGUUUUGCUGGGGUUUUUUCCUGAAGGAAUCGUGGUUUCUUUCAGGCCAUCUCCAUGGUAACACAGGGCCAGGGUUUUGGUGUAAGUAGCUCUAAAAUAUUAAUUAGACUGGUGAAUCUGACGGUUAUAGUGCUCCAUUCAAUUAUGAUUCACUAUCGCCACUAUAUCAGAUGGAAGGUUUACAGUUUGGAGAUUGGAGCAUCCAAGAUAUUAUAUCAUAUUGUUCAUGAAAAGUUAUGCAAUAAGAAGUUAAGAACCACCCGAUAAUAUGGAAUCGCUGUAUGCCUUUUUACAGCAACUAGCAAGGAGCAAAAUAAUAUUUUUGAUGUUGCUUUGACUAAUUAAGUGAGGUCCUAACUUAAGUUGGCUAAUUUCUUUCAUACCCAUUAUAUGAUUGGCAUGUCCUAUUUCUCUCUUGGUUUCUUCUUCUUUCUUUUGUUGCUUCUUUGGAAUUUUGUUGGUGUAUUUUGGCUAUUUGUUGAGUGUUUGGUGCUUGGUUUUCAGUUGUUCACUUUCUUUUUCUUCCCCUUCUUUGAUUUUUCUUUUGGAUGAUCUUCUCCUAAUAGACACCAUAUGGUUUUUGUGUUGUUUCCUAGGUACAGAUUUUGGUGUCAAUUCCUGGACCUUGCUGCCUGCAUGGCCAUCGGCAUAGCCAACCCGACGUGCCGGCGUUUAGCGCGGAUGGCCAGAUCUAUGCGGCAGAGAGCAUGGCCGAUGCUGGAAGGGAGGUCUUGCCGCCGGCCUCCAAGCAGUCGGUAGGCACAAUGGAUCCUAAAGCUCCAGGCUGGAUCAAAAGGGUGAGGAUUUGGGAGGAAGCCCCUGUUUAGACACCUUGUCCCAGUCAAGCACGAGCCGACGGCGGUGACACUGCAUAUGUUAUCCAGGAUCAUGCUCAACGGUUGUGUCAUCGGCGACAAGAUCCACAAGAUGCCAUGGCGGUGGUUGCCCCGGGUGUUAAUGUAGAGGGCAGGAACCAGUAGCAGGUGAGGAUACUAUGCAAUUUCGCUGUGAAUCAUUGUUAAUUAUUGGUCGUACUUCUUGUGCUCUGAAGAUUUGAUUCCACUCGUCUUGAUACACAAAAAGAGUUUGUUUCAUGAAUUCAAAAGAUACUGAAAUUAAAGGUUCGGCUUAUAUUUGGGGAGCAGACUCUUUUUGAAAAUCGACAUCUGAAUGUAAAUAAAUGCCCUUGGUAUGUUCUGAUUCCUAUCAUCCAUUGUUGCAAAUUUCUUCUAACCCAAUAUAUCAGUUUCUUAUCUUCUUUCGGUUCACCUUCACUCAUCCUGACAUUCAUCACCAUAAAAUAUUUUACAUACAAUUAUCUUUACAUUGUUAGCCUGCUUUUUUGUUUGUUUCACAAGCUUGAAAUAUUCUACAAUGCUCAUACUGAUGUAGAACCCUCCAAGUUUUCAAGUAUUUUAGUUUCCUAUUUUUGCAAUGUAGAAUGUCUCAUGAUACAUUUUCUUCUGCGAUCUUAUUUAGGUGAGCACCAAGAUCUCUGAAACUUUUUCUUCAAAAUACAGUAACCAAGCUGCGUUUGUUUCGUGCACAUACAUAAAUGGAUGGCUCUUCUUCUUGGAACCCCAAGUUGUGGGAAAAAACCCCUAUUGCUACCACUUGCAGGAAAGCUCAACCAAAACCAAGAGGUAUUUUUAUUUUUCUUCACUUCAACCAAGUCAGUCAUGUACAAUGAGCAGCACUCAAACCACAAAAUGAUUUGCAUCCCAUUAUUUUUUCCAAAUUUUCAAUUUUAUGACCUGCAUUCUAAAUAAAACAUAGCUCAUAGCUCAAUUUUAUGCAUAAUUUCUCCUGGCAGAUGUACAUAUUUAUCCCCACAAGGCCACAAGACACAACUGUGUGUUGUAGGUAGCAUCAGAAAUUGAGUUGAAUGGGAUCAAGAUGGAGCGGUUUGUUUCCAAAAGGCACCACCUCUUUAAUUUUCUGCUGGACAAGCGGAUAACAUGCUCCGGUCCAAUUCGUGAUUGGUGUUGAUGCAUCUCUAAAUAAUCUAAUCAUUCUGUUUUGCUAGCUUGUGCCAUGCAUGUCAGUGAGUUCUAAUGUUUUUUGUACUCUUAUCAUGUUAUGUGUGUGUUUGUCUGAACUGCUAUGAGAUGGGCCAGUGGCAGGGUAACCAGAAUGGGUCUUUUUGCCUGUACAGUUCUUAUAGGAUUAUCCUUACUAUAUGUUUGAGUAAAACAACUCAAGUUCAUGUUUAUACUCGGUACAAAUUAAAUAUGAGAUGUGCUUUCGAAUCUGCAUGCGUGUUGAUCAAGACACGGCCCAGCAUGGACGUUUAAAACACAUGCAAUCAGAUUAUCUCGAUGUAACUCAUUAGGAUGCUUCUGAUCUCUUUUCAACUAAAAAAAUGCAAUGGUGUACCGUGUACAUAUAUCAUGGAUUAUGUGCUUGUCUACUAAUGGUGAUGUUGACAUGGUAUACUGUCUAUUCUCCCUACUCAAUUGGCUGUGCUCAUAUCAAUGUAGGCUAACUAAAGAAUUUAAGAUGCUCAUAUCUAUGGAUUUGAAGCUAACUAAAAAGUUUUAGAUGUUCAUAUGUGGUGUCUGUUUGAUGAGAAAAAUAAAAAAAAAUAGACAGCAAGACAUGUGUUGUUGCUUUGUAUAACUUGGCAAAGAAGGUUUACGAAGGUCAAAUAGCUGGCUGUUGGGUGUGGCUUUCAUAGUAGUUAUUUUUAUAAAAUGUUAAAUAGGCACCAAAUGUUCUGAUCCACCUGCUUACCCACGAAAAGGCUCUCCAGCCAUAGAGUUCUGUAAAAAAAGGCACACCAGCCUGGUUGUUUCCUGAAAUUUGAUAGUGCCGAGAUCAUCCAGAAAGAACCCUAUCCCCUCCCCCGCCGCCACCCGCGAGGUGUCGGGGAGGGGGCUCCAGAUCUCCGCCGCUAGCACCCCCUCCUCCCUCCUCCACCCUUGCCGCCGCCAAAGGACGCCGGUGGCAGCGGGGCCCCUACCUCCCCCGCGCGUGGGGUAUGUCACGGGUGAGAUCUCGCAGGCGGGGACGCGGCGCUCGGUGCCGGGCGCAGCGGCGCUCAAGAGUAGGACGGUGAUGGCGGCAGGCGGCAUGGUGGUGAUGCGGGCCUAUGGAUGGCGUCGACGGCGGUUGCUUCCGGCAGCGCCUCAGCGUCGCAUCCGGCGCCGCGGGUCGCGGGCAGCCCUCUCGCCGUGGAUCUCUGGUGUGUGUGUGUGUGGGGGGGGGGGGGGGGGGGGGGGGGGGGGGGGGGGGGGGGGGGGGGGGGGGUUGGAGCUGGCACGGGCGCCGGUCGUGGCCAUGAGCCACUUCCCCGCCUCCCCUUUCCCCCGGUCGAUGUAUGGCCGCGGCCCUUCUCGAGUCAGGUUUGCCGCCGGCUGCUCUGGAGGUGGUUGGGGUCCCGGAUCUGGGCAAGUUGUGGCCUUUGGUGGCUCUCGGGGUGGUCUCAUGGCAGUGCGGCGGCCCUGGCCGUGGGAGCUGAGUUGGUCGUGGGCGGAUUGCAUGGCUCGGCUACAGACAGGCAACCAUGGCCGCUCGGGCGGCAUGGCUGCGGGUGGUUGGCGGACUGGGGUUACGGCGGAGGGGUUGAAGCACCGCGGUCCAUCACCUACCCAGUCCGUGCACUGGUUGGUGAUGGCGUCCGUGGACGACGUGUUCCUCCUUGCAGGCUCCGUCGUGGUGCUUCUACUCCUUCCGUCUUACUCCGGGUGAAAACUUGAUCUUCGGAUCGGACAGUGACGAUGUUCGUGGUCGUGCCCUUCCUGGAGGCACCGUCUUGGAGUCCUCGGUCCGACGUGUCCGUCGCACAUCCUCCCAGACGAUCGCUCCUCAUGGUGGUAGUCUCCAUCGGCUCUAAGCGGAUCUGUUUUGCACAUCUUAUAGGUGCUUCAUAGUUGUUGAGGUUGUGUGUCGGUGCCCGGCAUUCGUGUAUCUUGCCUUGGCUGUGUGUGGCGUGCGUUUGUAUCGGAUGCUUCGAUGUUGUGUUGGUGCUUUAUAAUAUAAAUAAAGGGGGGAAACCCUUUUUCGUAAAUUUGAUUGUGCCCAAGGAUACAUUGAUUUGCAUACAAUUCUUCAAACAAUUGUAGACCAAGGAUACAAUUGAUGAAAAUCUUCAGAAAACUGCAAGACAUGCUUUUUGAAGAAAGAAGUUAAGAAGAUUAGUCACUGCCACAACAUGUGUUCAGAAAAAUACAACUUCGCUGACACCUGUUGCCUAUAAAAUUGAGCUCACCAUGAUUAAUUCCUUUCUUUCAAGUCGAUAGUCUGUUCAAAAAUAUGAUUCAGCAUAUAAAAGCAUAGUUUUACUAUUCUGUUGCUUUCCUUUUUUUGUAUGAUAUGGUAGAUUGUUAAUUUGGGUCUCGCUCAUACACAUUAUCUCUUUCCCUAUCUGUGAUAUCUAAUUUAGACCAUGUUAUUCCACAGGUAAUACAAAAGCAUUGUAUUUGCUUGGUCCAGUAUGUCAGCCUACCUCGCUCACUUUCCUUUCAAAACACUCAAAUUUGGUGACUGAAACUUGGAUGUGCAAAACAUUCUGCUUUGUUUACAUUUAGGAAUAACCUUGUUGUCUAUGCUACCUUCACUGGUGGUUCACAGCACCAAUCCUCACAUAUGCUCCUGCACACAACUGUUCUAAUUGAAAAUGCUUUUCAUGAUUUCUUCUUCAUGCCUGCCCAGCUAUCAGGCUCCUUAUUUUGGUUUCACUUACAGUGCUGUUUAUUUUCAUUUAGGAGCUCAUUUCUUAUGAUCUCAUUUGUAUAUACCCUUAAUCAGCCAAUUGAUUGAUUGCACUUCCUUUUAUUGCUCAGAUAAGGCUGCAUGGCGCCACCACGCCCGCUCAAGACGACUGUGGCCGGGUAUCGAGCCGCCAACACUGAUCUUAUAUUUCUUAUGUGAUCGUGCUUCUCUGUCCCGAGGUCACCCGGGUCCGAUGUGCCAAAAAGGACAGCAAGGGAACAACAACACGUCCUUCCCCUCUUCACCAAGAUAAUCUCACCCGUCUUGCUUCACUUUUGCAACGGGCAGUCGUUGCUGCCACAUGGAGCUCUAGAGUAGUCAGUCUAGAUUCAACUAGAGUUGCAAGUGUACCAUUGUCCAGUAUAGCUACCUUUUCUGAUAGAUUUUAGACUUCUUAUCCUGUAUUAGUUUAACGGCUGGCUAACUUUUGUUUCUUGUCAUGUUGCUAUCCAGUGUUAAUUUAUCUGUCCACCAA